GAGAGUCAGCGAGGCUGGCGUCCCAGGAUGAGUAGGUGGCUCCUUUGCUGGGCAUGCUGAAGGCGAGCCUGGGUGAGCCUGGGUUCCAUGGAGCUAUAUCAGAAGUCCCUGGCUAGUCCUUGACAUGUGGCAGAGAGACAAAUUGUCCUGAAUAGAUUCAAGCCAUGGGAUGACACCCUCUGAGCCUCUUUCUGGACCUGCAGGGGUCCUGGACAAAGGAAGAACUCACAGGAAGGUUCCUGGCCCAUGUGGUCUUACCAGGAUGACGGCCAGGGCCAGGGGUGCUUCAACAAGGAGGUAGCUUUGAACCUAGAACCUGAAUGGUGAGCAGGACCCAGAGAAUGGUCCCACAGAGGGGGACCAGGACUGAGCUAUAGCGGAGUCUCCAGUCCCUCCAGCAGGAUUCAAACCCUGCAGCCAGCUGGCCCCAGGCUGGGCAGGUGACUGGGGAAGGGUGUCAGCCAGGCUGGGCAAGAGGUAGCAAGGGACACGGAUGCAGCAGCACCCAGGUAUGUGAAAGAACCUCUUCCGUUGGCUCAGGGCGGCUUGUGACCUCCUGCCCCAAGAGGCAAAUGGGUCUAGACACACCUAGCCUCCAGCAUUGUGCCUCCAAAGUGACAGAGUGGUCUCUGCAUGUGACAGAGGCAGCCAGACCUUCCAGAGCAUGUGACCCUGGCCACACUACCUAACCUCUCCACACAGUCUUGUGUUUCCCUCACCCAGAGUUUCCCUUCCCAGCCCUCAGUGGUUACCUGGAACCUUCUAUGGCCUGCAGGAGAGGGAGAACUCUGGCAGUGGCUACCCCAUCCCACGGUGAAAGGCUAGCACCACGGGGCCAAGGGGAGACAUCUUGUCGUCUGCCCACCUGGGGCCAACUCCAACAUGCGCCAGAACUGGAGGUAUGACUGAGAGUGUUGGGAACCUCGAAGCCACGACUUUGGUGUCACCGCCACAUACAUCUGCCUGCAGCUGCCAGGUUGGAUGUGCCACCACGGGCAGUGGCCCCGUGCAGGAGUCUUGUAGCUGGGAACCUGCGCUGUACCUAGAAGCCCAAAGCCUGUGGGCUCUCACCUGUCUGCUGUUGUGAGCUAGUGCCCUGUGAACUUUGACCCCUUGAUCUGCAGAGAAAGGAGAAAGCAAGCAAUUCUGCCCAUGCUGACC